UAGGGAAUCUUCCGCAAUGGACGCAAGUCUGACGGAGCAACGCCGCGUGAGUGAAGAAGGAUUUCGGUUCGUAAAACUCUGUUGUUAGAGAAGAACAGCGCAUAGAGUAACUGUUAUGCGUGUGACGGUAUCUAACCAGAAAGCCACGGCUAACUACGUGCCAGCAGCCGCGGUAAUACGUAGGUGGCAAGCGUUGUCCGGAUUUAUUGGGCGUAAAGCGAGCGCAGGCGGUCAAUUAAGUCUGAUGUGAAAGCCCCCGGCUCAACCGGGGAGGGUCAUUGGAAACUGGUUGACUUGAGUGCAGAAGAGGAGAGUGGAAUUCCAUGUGUAGCGGUGAAAUGCGUAGAUAUAUGGAGGAACACCAGUGGCGAAGGCGACUCGCUGGUCUGUAACUGACGCUGAGGCUCGAAAGCGUGGGUAGCAAACAGG
rnacentral:rRNA from 1 species